UACGUAGGGUGCGAGCGUUGUCCGGAAUUAUUGGGCGUAAAGGGCUCGUAGGCGGUUUGUCGCGUCGGGAGUGAAAAUCCACUGGCUUAACUGGUGGCUUGCUUUCGAUACGGGCAGACUGGAGGUAUGCAGGGGAGAACGGAAUUCCUGGUGUAGCGGUGAAAUGCGCAGAUAUCAGGAGGAACACCGGUGGCGAAGACGGUUCUCUGGGCAUGUCCUGACGCUGAGGAGCGAAAGUGUGGGGGAGCGAACAGG
rnacentral:rRNA from 1 species